AGUUCCUAGAAAACUUCUCCCCAGGCCAAUCACUCCAACCUUACUGCUAUUACAACAAGAACACAAAGAAGAUUUUCUCCAAGGUUGAAAUGGGGUCAAGGUUACUGAAGAAACUCUGAGAGGGUCCUACUCAUGAACACUCUUGAAUGCAGCUGGUUCUUCUUGUCCCACAUUUGGGCACCAUAUGUUGUGAUAUAGGAGGCUCCUGCCAGUGGCUGCUGGAGGUCUAACUCAGACCUGUAGAAUGGAUCUCUUCAUGUGAGAGGAAGAUGAUGAUACAGACUGAGAGACAGUUGCUGUUCUCUGACCUCUCUCCUCUUCCCUCUCUUCUCCAAUUUAUUUCAUUCCAAAUCCACAAGGAACAUCUGUGAUAUGGAAUACAUCAUCUCCCUUCAGAAUCUUCAUCUCUGCUGUGACAUUUAUAAAUGAUGCCUUUGUCUCCUGUCAUAUUAUGGCAGAACUUUGGGAUGAUGGAGUCCCUUGGCCAAAAAUAAAAGCUUUUAAGGACUCCUAAAAACAAUAUAAAAAAACCAUUCCCUCAUGUCAAUUCCUUAUUUCCAUGUAAAUGGAUCACUAAUAAAAUGCCAAACUAAACUUAUUUAUACAUAACAUAUUUUAUUUGGAAAAUCUCUGAGAAAUAAAUAUUAGAGCUUGCUUUUGAAAACUAUAUCCUUCCAAAUGUGAAAUCAAUCAAUUUUUUGCCUAAGUCUUGAACAUCAUGGAUGUCUGCAUUUACUUUUUGAAGAAUAAAACCUAAUAUUUCUUGCUUUACAAUAUGAAAUGUGUUAUAUAUCUAAAAGUCCUCUUUUAUGUAGUAAUAUCUCCACCUUGUGAAAUGCUAAAAUAUUGUUACUAAAAUCAUCCAAAGAUAUUGUUAUAUUUUGCAAGUGAAGUGUCAUAAAUUGAAUUUUGUGAAACUAUGUUUUCCUUAAAUUACUUGAAAGGUAGUCUAUAUACAAUGAUCAAUUCUGGUGGAUGUCACUCUCUUCAACAAUGAGAUGAUUCAAAUCAAUUCCAAUUGUUUAGUGAUGAAGAGAGCCAUCUACACCCAAAGAGAGAAUGGUGGGAAGCUGAGUAUGGACCACAACAUAGCAUUUUGACUCUUUCUGUUGUUGUUCACUUGCAUUUUGUUUUUUUCCCAGUUUUUUCUUAUUGAUCCGAUUUUUCUUAUGCAGCCAGACAACUGUACAAAUAUGUAUACAUAUAUUGGAUUUAACAUAUAUUUUAACACAUUUAACAUGUAUUGGACUAUCUGCUAUCUAUGGAAGGGGGUGGGAGAAAGGAGGGGAUAAUUGAAACAGAAGGCUUUGCAAGGGUCAAUGUGGAAAAAUUACCCAUGCAUAUGUUUUGUAAAUAAAAAGCUUUAAUUAAAAAAGAAAGUUAAUCUAAUAGAAUAUAAUAAAUUAUGCUUCUAACGAGGCAAAGUUAGUUUUUAUCUGUUCCACAUAUUUUUGGUUCAGAAAGUCAAUUACAAAAAAUGUUGAAGCUUUUAAGAAUCAAAAAAAAAAAAAAAAAAAAAAAAAGAGGAAAACCAGAGAACGCAUACAAUAUUUGCAGAAAAUAAUGUUUGAAAUGACAUUAAAUUAUGAGAUAAAAUGCAGAAAUAUAAUAUGGAUAUAAAUGCAAGAAUUUAG